rnacentral:rRNA from 1 species
AACUGACCUACCCCAAAGUCGCGGAUAACGAUUCGAAAGAAUCGCUAAUACGUGAUGUGCUGCUCCCUCAUGUGGGAUCAGUAAAGAUUUAUUGCUUUGGGAUGGGGUUGCGUUCCAUCAGCUAGUUGGUGGGGUAAAGGCCCACCAAGGCGACGACGGAUAGCCGGCCUGAGAGGGUGGCCGGCCACAGGGGCACUGAGACACGGGUCCCACUCCUACGGGAGGCAGCAGUUAGGAAUCUUCCACAAUGGGCGAAAGCCUGAUGGAGCGACGCCGCGUGAGGGAUGAAGGUCUUCGGAUCGUAAACCUCUGAAUCAGGGACGAAAGACACUUCGGUGGGAUGACGGUACCUGAGUAAUAGCACCGGCUAACUCCGUGCCAGCAGCCGCGGUAAUACGGAGGGUGCAAGCGUUACCCGGAAUCACUGGGCGUAAAGGGCGUGUAGGCGGACACUUAAGUCUGGUUUUAAAGACUGCGGCUCAACCGCAGGGAUGGACUGGAUACUGGGUGUCUUGACCUCUGGAGAGAGAACUGGAAUUCCUGGU